rnacentral:rRNA from 1 species
AGAGUUUGAUCCUGGCUCAGAUUGAACGCUGGCGGCAUGCCUUACACAUGCAAGUCGAACGGCAGCACGGGAGCAAUCCUGGUGGCGAGUGGCGAACGGGUGAGUAAUAUAUCGGAACGUACCUUUCAGUGGGGGAUAACGUAGCGAAAGUUACGCUAAUACCGCAUAUUCUGUGAGCAGGAAAGCAGGGGAUCUUAGGACCUUGCGCUGAUUGAGCGGCCGAUAUCAGAUUAGCUAGUUGGUGAGGUAAAGGCUCACCAAGGCGACGAUCUGUAGCGGGUCUGAGAGGAUGAUCCGCCACACUGGAACUGAGACACGGUCCAGACUCCUACGGGAGGCAGCAGUGGGGAAUUUUGGACAAUGGGGGCAACCCUGAUCCAGCCAUGCCGCGUGAGUGAAGAAGGCCUUCGGGUUGUAAAGCUCUUUCAGCCGGGAAGAAAACGCAUGGGUUAAUACCCUGUGUGGAUGA